UAGUCCACACCGUAAACGAUGAGAACUAGUUGUUGGGGGAAUUUGUCCCUCAGUGACGCAGCUAACGCAUUAAGUUCUCCGCCUGGGGAGUACGCCGGCAACGGUAAAACUCAAAGGAAUUGACGGGGACCCGCACAAGCGGUGGAGCAUGUGGUUUAAUUCGAUGCAACGCGAAGAACCUUACCUGCCCUUGACAUUGACAGAACCUCAGAGAGAUCUGAGGGUGCUUCGGCCUGGAAAACAGGUGCUGCAUGGCUGUCGUCAGCUCGUGUCGUGAGAUGUUGGGUUAAGUCCCGCAACGAGCGCAACCCUUAUUUUAGUUGCCAUUUGGAAAUCUAGAAAGACUGCCGGUUAUAAACCGGAGGAAGGCGGGGAUGACGUCAAGUCAGCAUGCCCCUUACACUCUGGGCUACACACGUGCUACAAUGGGCAAGACAAUAAGUUGCAAACCUGUGAAGGUUAGCUAAUCUAUAAACUUGUUCUAAGUUCGGAUUGUAGGCUGCAACUCGCCUACA
rnacentral:rRNA from 1 species